GGUUUGUUGAGAAACGAAACUGAUGGAUGAAGUGAAGUGAAAGAACAGGGAAACAGGAGAUAUAGAGAGUAAGAAAACGAAGUUGAAUUUGCAGAGAGAUGCAGUGAAAGUGGAAUGUGUGGGAAAGAAGAAGGAAGAAAUUGAAUGAAAAUCAGAUCAGAUCUGAUCUGAUCUUGAGGUUUGUAAUUGGAAUUAAAAAGGAAGAAUAGAAUUGAAAAAGAAAAAGAUUGAAAUGUGUGAAUGAGAGAAAAUCAAG
rnacentral:misc_RNA from 1 species